rnacentral:rRNA from 1 species
UACAGAGGGUGCGAGCGUUGUCCGGAAUCACUGGACGUAAAGGGCGCGUAGGCGGCCUGAUAAGUAGGGGGGUGAAAUCCUGUGGCUUAACUGCAGGGCUGCCUCCUAGACUGUUAGGCUCGAGCACGGUAGAGGCAGAUGGAAUUCCUGGUGUAGCGGUGAAAUGCGCAGAUAUCAGGAGGAACACCGGUGGCGAAGGCGGUUCUCUGGGGCAUGUCCUGACGUGAGGAGCGAAAGUGUGGGGAGCGAACAGGG